rnacentral:misc_RNA from 1 species
CCAGGUGCUCCUUCUUCUUUUCUAUGUUUUCAGGUUUAAGGGCGUGCCUGGUUCGUAGCCGGCCGCCAAACCACGCCACAUCCUGUCAUCCUCCACGCCGCAAGUUUCGGUUUCCAAUUCUAUUCUCCAAUUCCACAAGUAAUAUAUUAAGGUUCCUUUUUUAUUUGCUCGAUGGAAACGCAAUCGAUCAGUUGCCAAAACCAUACAAUACACCUGUACACAGUGAUAAAAUUUGUACUUAUUAUUAUUACAUGGUAUAUUCUAAAAGCAUGGAUGAGAUUCUGAAAUUAUUGUAUAUAGCUGAAGCCUCUUUUUUUAAUUUCUAC